rnacentral:lncRNA from 1 species
GCGGUUCGAUCAACCAAGGGGGCUCCUAAGGUCGGUAAGGCUCUGAUACCAACUUGUAGUGCCCAAGAUGCGAUUCUAUCUCAAUCACGUGAUGAAUUCAUGAUUGGGGCACAAUCGCAUUUUGAGCGCAUAACAAGGUGGAUAUCAUUACAACAUACCAUGAUGUGAAUAGAUGAGAGUACCAGAUAAAGGCUCACACUUGCCAAAAGUACAACAUAUAUACAACAAUACAUCAAUUCAUAGCAAUCAUCAUACAGAAGAGCGGUAUCUGACUAUGGUUGAAAUCAAGCGAAAAAGAAGAACGACAUCCACCCUGCUAGCCCAGGCUCCCGACCCGAAACCUAUAUCCCUUGAUCAAAGAAGAAGCAGAAGAACUCCAAACAAGCAAGCAUCACACUCGCGUCAGAUCAUCACAUUACCUUUACCUGCAACUGUUGUUGUUGUAAUAUGUGAGCCACGAGGAAUCAAAAAUACCAUUACCAUGGGUACCAACACUAGCAAAGCUUAAUGGGUAUGGAAAGGAUAAGUGGUGAGCUUGCAGCAAGCGGCUAAGCAUUGUAUGGUGGCUAACUUAUGAGUACAAGAAUAAGAUGCGAAACUACGCAAGUGGUCGCCAACUAGUAAUGAUUAAGAAGUGAUCCUAAACUACUUAUGUUCAAUCAUAACCCAAUCGUGUUCUCUUCCCGAACUUGCUCGAAAAGAGACAGUAACGGUUACACAUGCGAUUAGUGUAUUUUAUUUCAGAUCUGGUGUCAAGUUCUCUAUGACCGGGUAUUAAAAACUCCAAUCUGCCAUAUAACCGUCGGCACUUAUUUCGAAAGUUUAAACCCGGCAGGGGUGUCCCAACUUAACCCAUGACAAGCUCUCACAAUCAACGGAGGAAAAUCCUCCUCCCGGAACAACCCAGUCAAGCUCGGAAUCCCAGUUCCCAAGACAUUUCGACAAUGGUAAAACAAAACCAGCAAGACCUCCAGACGUGCCGACACCCUGAUAGUAGCCGCCCAUAUCUCGUCUGAGGCCAUGAUCGGAUAAGUCAACCUACGAGUAAAACCAGUCCUUGAGUUGCCCCAUGGUGGCCCUGCAGUCUGCCUAUUUUGGACCGACACUCAUGAGGAGCACUGGCCCGGGUUGUUAAUUAAGAGUCCUCGGGUGCUAGCUAGCCCCUAUGUAAUUUUUAGUUGUUGUUAGGCAAAUGGUAAAACCAAUGUUGGGCCUUACUGGAAGAGUUUUAUUCAAAGCGAACUGUUAAGGGGGGCCCAUAAACCCCAACCGUGUUAGGAAUGCAAAAUCAAGGAACAAAACACCGGUAUGACGGAAACUAGGGCGGCAAGAGUGGAACAAAACACAAGGAAAAAGGCUGAGCCUUCCACCCUUUAUCAAGAAAAUAUGUGCAUUAAUAAAAUAAGAGCUAUUGUGAUAUUCCAAGAUAUCCAUGUUCCAACAUGGAACAACCUGCAACUGCACCUGCGACUAUCAACGCUAUAAGAGUGGCUGAGCAAAGCGGUAACAUAGCCAAACAACGGUUUGCUAGGAAGAUGGAAAAAGUUAGAGGCUAACAUGGCAAUUUGGGAGGCUUGAUAAACAAGCGGUAGGCAGCGCGACAUAGCGAUAGCAUCGAGACAACUAGCAAAGCAAAGAUAGUAGUGGUAUGCGGAGUAACGUUCAUCUUGCCUGAGAUCCCGCUAGGAAGAAGAACGAGUCCAUGAAAAAGAUGAAUGGGCGUAGUCGAACGAAUCCUCACAAUCGCAACUUUACCGGAACUAAGAAGCAAUACCGG